AAAAUCUGGCACCUUCGGUGUCCGAGUUGUAAUCUCUAGAAAUGUUUUCCGCGUUGGACCGCACACAAGUCUGUUGGAAUACAGCGGCAUAGUGGUGAGACCCCCGUAUAUGGUGCGGACGCCCAGCGCUUUGUGAUACAUUUUCGAAGAGUCGAGUUGUUGGGGAAUGCAGCUCAAAUUGGGUGGUAAAUUCCAUCUAAAGCUAAAUAUUGGCGAGAGACCGAUAGCGAACAGUACCGUGAGGGAAAGAUGAAAAGCACUUUUGGAAAGAGAGUUAAACAGUACGUGAAAUUGGUUGGGAAAGGGGAAACGCUUGAAAGUCAGACUUGCUUGGCCGAAGCCAAAUCGGGUUUGCAGUGGCCAGCAUCANGUUUAUACGGGGGUGGAAUAAUGGUAAGACGAGAAGGGUACAGCCAGGUAUCCGGGCCUGGUUGUUAUAAGCCUCCUUCCUAACCUUGGCAAUAACAACCCCCUGGGGGGACUCUGGAAGGGAAACCCGCCAAG
rnacentral:rRNA from 1 species